AACGUAGGAGACAAACGUUAUCCGGAGUUACUGGGCGUAAAGGGCGUGUAGGUGGUUUUGUAAGUCUGGCGUGAAAUUUCUCGGCUUAACCGAGGCAGGUCGUCGGAUACUAUAAGACUAGAGGACGGUAGAGGCGUGUGGAAUUCCGGGUGUAGUGGUGAAAUGCGUAGAGAUCCGGAGGAACACCAGUGGCGAAGGCGACACGCUGGGCCGUACCUGACACUGAUGCGCGAAAGCCAGGGGAGCAAACGGG
rnacentral:rRNA from 1 species